rnacentral:rRNA from 1 species
UACGUAGGGGGCGAGCGUUGUCCGGAGUUACUGGGCGUAAAGCGCACGCAGGCGGUCUGGUAAGUUUGGAGUGACAGUGCCCGGCUCAACUGGGCAAGGCCUCUGAAGACUGCUGGACUUGAGGACCAGAGAGGGACAUAGAAUUCCGGGUGGAGUGGUGAAAUGCGUAGAUAUCCGGAGGAAUACCAAAGGCGAAGGCAGUGUCCUGGCUGGUAACUGACGCUCAGGUGCGAAAGCUAGGGGAGCGAACAGG